CAAAUCGCGAAGAUUUCGUCGAUUUUGAUGAAAUCUAGCCGUCAUUUCCUUCCCGUUGGAGAUAUUUCGACGUUUAAGCGCUCAUUGAACUCCGUUCUACACUGCAAAUGUAAUGCACUACCGUUCAAGCGUCGAAGCAAGCGAAACAGCUCGCAAAUCGCGAAGAUUUCGUCGAUUUUGAUGAAAUCUAGCCGUCAUUUCCUUCCCGUAGGAGAUAUUUCGACGUUUAAGCGCUCGUUGAGCUCCAUUUCACAGUGCAAAUGCAAUGCACCACCGUUUAAGCGUCGAAACAAGCAAAAUAGCUCGCAAAUCGCGAAGAUUUCGUCGAUUUCGAUGAAAUCUAGCCGUCAUUUCCUUCCCGUUGGAGAUAUUUCGACGUUAUAGAGCUCGUUUCACUCCAUUUUACAAUGCAAAUGUAAUGCACUACCGUUUAAGCGUCGAAACAAGCGAAACAGGUCGCAAAUCGCGAAGAUUUCGUCGAUUUUGACGAAAACUAGCCGUCAUUUCCUUCCCGUUGGAGAUAUUUCGACGUUUAAGCGCUCGUUGAGCUCAAUUUCACAGUGCAAAUUAAAUGCACUACCGUUUAAGCGUCGAAACAAGCAAAAGAGCUCGCAAAUCGAAAAGAUUUCGUCGAUUUCGACGAAAACUAGCUGCCAUUUCCUUCCCGAUUGAGAUAUUUCGACGUUAUAGAGCUCGUUUCACUCCAUUUUACACUGCAAAUGUAAUGCACUACCGUUUAAGCGUCGAAACAAGCGAAACAGCUCCCAAAUCGCGAAGAUUUCGUCGAUUUCGAUGAAAUUUAGCCGUCAUUUCCUUCACGUUGGAGAUAUUUCGACGUUUAAGCGCUCGUUGAACUCCGUUUUACACUGCAAAUGUAAUGCACUACCGUUUAAGCGUCGAAACAAUCAAAGUAUAUCGCAAAUCGCGAAGAUUUCGUCGAUUUUGAUGAAAUCUAGCCGUCAUUUCCUUCUCGUUGGAGAUAUUUCGACGUUAUAGAGCUCGUUUCACUCCAUUUUACACUGCAAAUGUAAUGCACUACCGUUCAAGCGUCGAAGCAAGCGAAACAGCUCCCAAAUCGCGAAGAUUUCGUCGAUUUCGAUGAAAUUUAGCCGUCAUUUCCUUCACGUUGGAGAUAUUUCGACGUUUAAGCGCUCGUUGAACUCCGUUUUACACUGCAAAUGUAAUGCACUACCGUUUAAGCGUCGAAACAAUCAAAGUAUAUCGCAAAUCGCGAAGAUUUCGUCGAUUUUGAUGAAAUCUAGCCGUCAUUUCCUUCUCGUUGGAGAUAUUUCGACGUUAUAGAGCUCGUUUCACUCCAUUUUACACUGCAAAUGUAAUGCACUACCGUUCAAGCGUCGAAGCAAGCGAAACAGCUCCCAAAUCGCGAAGAUUUCGUCGAUUUUGAUGAAAUCUAGCCGUCAUUUCCUUCCCGUUGGAGAUAUUUCGACGUUUAACCACUCGUUGAACUCCGUUUUACACUGCAAAUGUAAUGCACUACCGUUUAAGCGUCGAAACGAGCAAAAUA